CAGUACCAGCAGUGAGCGAUGACGAAUGUCAUCUACAAUGUCAUCGAGGCGUUGACGCCAGCCAAAUCGAACCCUUUGUUUUUUCUUUUGUUUCUUUCUUUUCCGCGCGUGCCGAACGUAAUUCCGUUCUGCCGACCGUGCGCAGUAGCAGAGAACUUCGUUUUAUCUUUUCGUCUUCUUUGCGCCUGCGUCGACAGAACUCUUUUGCUUUGUUCUUUGCUAUUUGCAAUCGUCAAACGGAGUUUUAAUAAGUGAAAAUAAGUAAUCUGUGAUUAUUAUUAUUAUCAGCGGCGGUGAAGAUGAAAAUACCCGACGAGCCAGCAGAAAAAGUGAUUCGGAAGGCUAUUCACAACAUUAAGAAUAGUCAUUUUCAGAAGA